GGUUCUAUAUUCAAAAUUGAUUUUAAAUUGCAAAUUUAAAGGUAAAGUUUAACUUUUAGAGCCU
rnacentral:tRNA from 1 species